ACAAAUCCCUCACCGUGAUCUACAUCUGCAUCGGAAUCGUCAUGACGGUCCAAGCUAGGCUCUCCGCCAUGGGAAAGCUCGAGAUCCCCUUCGGCGUUUUCACCCUCAUCUACACGACGCAGCUCUUCUUCACUCCGAUUCUCGCGCGCCUCGUCAACAAGAUCAAGUUCAACCGGUGGGUCGUGAUCUCCUUGGCUCUGGCCAAACGACGCAGCUCUUCUUCACUCCGGUCUUCGCGCGCCUCGUCAACAAGAUCAAGUUCAACCGGUGGGUGGUGAUCUCCUUGGCUCUGGCCAUCGCCACCGGAGCUCUCACGUUAUCCUCGGCCUUCGCCGGGGAGCCCGACGAAGCCGAGGAGAAUUACGCGAGAGGCGCGUGGGCUGCUCUCU
rnacentral:lncRNA from 1 species